CGAAACGCUGUUUUUGUGUAAGUAACUUCUGAUUGGUUAUUUGACUGUCACGCCUUCACCAUUCACAGCAGUAUUGAAAAUCCUUCCCUAUGCAGGGCUUGUUAUGGACGUGCUUUGCAUUUUAAGUUGAGAGAAAAGCAGCUGCACAGCAGUUUGCUUCCGAAUCUAAUGUAGCUAUGACAAGAACUGACGUUUUAAAAAGAUGAUGCAGUGCCGCAAGAUGUCAACAAUCAGAAUGAAAAUGAAAGCAGUGUGAAGACCCAGGAAGCCUUUGCCUUGCAGAUAUCCGUGAGUCUGACAGACACACUCCCACCCACACCAAACCUGCUUGUUUGACUUUCACAGAGAUGCUUCUUCAUAAAAGGCACCUAUUAUUUAGACUCAUCAUCCUAUUCACACAAGGGUUGUCUCAAAAGCUCUGUGGAACAUUCUUCCUGCCCAGCAGUCACAGAAGCAUAGGGGCUGGAUAUCUCUCCUUCGCCUGCCAAAUGCCUUGGCUCCUACGUUGGUUGGUACAAAGUUGCUGUUACCCAUCCCUCCUGAUCUGCUUAGGAAAUCUGCCAGUCGGAGUUCCAGCUCCGACAUCAGUGCGAGGGUAACUUUGCAAUUUGUGCAACUCCUGCGACAGUUUUCCCAGCACACAAGUACUCAGAUUG